CUGCGCACAUCUGCGUAAUUGAUCGGUGAAUUGAGCGCUGACCGUCAAAAACCACGUGAAUGCCCCCAAAGGCGGAUGCAAGAAGAUUAUACUCAGUUUACAGUUCCAGUACAGCUUGGGCGUCUUCAUGCGCCCGACUAGGACCAUUUGGCGCCCUGUCAUUGAAUACCCAACAAAAGGGCGUUAUAUAUAAGGAGAAUUCUCCAUGAUGACUUAACAAAGUGAGUUUAGAUCUGAAUGAUCGAGCACCCUGUAAAUGCUUGAGCUGGCAUUUUCUACGGAAAUUAAGAUACAAGUAUACCCGUACUUCCUUAAUCUUGGCAAACUUAGGACGGUUUUACUGCAUCAUACAACGUGAACAGCCACUCACAUCGGAUCAAAACACGAGAUGGUUACCAGCAGCAUGGUUCGGGCCGUCUGUCUCCUCAGUUUGCUCUGUUUGCUGCCAUUUUUAGACAUCUCCUGCGGAGUCUAUGUGUCAAGAAACAAUUUCAAGCUGAACAACUUCGGCGGGAGCUCUCUCAAUAUCUCUUGCCGUUCGAUCAUGCCAGAAGGGGGCGUGAUUACACUCAAGUAUGGCCAACGUCGUGUCAUUGGCUGUUACGAGUACACGUGCCCCGCCAGUGGGCUGAUGCAGAGGAGAAGGGUCGACAGUUUCUUUCGGAGAUGCUAGUAUGGAUGAAAGGGCGAAAGCUAAUCUGCCUUAAGCCUCACGUAGACUUUUUAAAGGCCGCCAAACCAUUUGCGCCCUCUAGAAUUCCAUGGGGAGCGCCCUCUUUUUUGAUUCUCUGUUGCAUUUGGCGCUCCUACCGUUCUAUUAAUUAAUGCUGCUUGUUACCAUGGUCAUUAACAGGGUACAGAAUACUGUGUCUGAGGACUGAACUCUUUUUUUUUUGCUAUAGCAAAAUAAUUUCGACAACAUUCCUGUUGGGGAUAGUAUUGCAAAGAAUCCAAGAGACAGGUAGGCCCUUUAACCAAUAAAAUGGAUGGGAGCUGGGAUGUGGGAUAUGACUCUUGGGUCGAGUUUGGGCGGUCCGUAAACGUUCUUGACGCGGGUUUCUUGUUCUCGCGCUCGAACUGCGACAACACGACUCAAGAACACUGUACUCG